rnacentral:rRNA from 1 species
CUGGUUGAUCCUGCCAGAGGUCACUGCUAUCGGGGUUCGAUUAAGCCAUGCGAGUUGAGAGGGUUUAGACCCUCGGCGGACUGCUCAGUAACACGUGGAUAACCUGCCCUAAGGUGGAGGAUAACCCCGGGAAACUGGGGAUAAUACUCCAUAGACCAGAGUGACUGGAAUGUUUUCUGGUCGAAAGUUCCGGCGCCUUAGGAUGGAUCUGCGGCCGAUUAGGUAGUUGUUGGGGUAACGGCCCAACAAGCCAGUCAUCGGUACGGGUUGUGGGAGCAAGAGCCCGGAGAUGGAAUCUGAGACACGAUUCCAGGCCCUACGGGGCGCAGCAGGCGCGAAAACUUUACAAUACAGGAAACUGUGAUAAGGGAACCCCGAGUGCUCGUACACGCGAGCUGUCCAGGUGUGUAAAAAGCAUCUGAAGAAAGGGCCGGGCAAGACCGGUGCCAGCCGCCGCGGUAAUACCGGCGGCUCGAGUGGUGGCCACUAUUAUUGGGCUUGAAGCGUUCGUAGCUGGACUCUUAAGUCUCCUGGGAAAUCCGCCGGCUCAACCGGCGGGCGUCCAGGAGAUACUGGGAGUCUUGGAACCGGAAGAGGUAAGAGGUACUUCGGGGGUAGGAGUGAAAUCCUGUAAUCCUCGAGGGACCACCUAUGGCGAAGGCAUCUUACCAGGACGGCUCCGACAGUGAGGAACGAAAGCUGGGGGAGCGAACCGGAUUAGAUACCCGGGUAGUCCCAGCCGUAAACGAUGCGCGUUAGGUGUGCUGGUGACCACGAGUCACCAGGGUGCCGAAGGGAAACCGUGAAACGUGCCGCCUGGGAAGUACGGUCGCAAGGCUGAAACUUAAAGGAAUUGGCGGGGGAGCACCAC